UGAACUGCUUUCCAUGCUGCCAUCUGGUGGU
rnacentral:piRNA from 1 species